rnacentral:rRNA from 1 species
AGUGAACGCUGGCGGUAGGCCUAACACGUGCAAGUCGAACGGCAGCACAGGAGAGCUUGCUCUCUGGGUGGCGAGUGGCGGACGGGUGAGGAAUACAUCGGAAUCUACUCUGUCGCGGGGGAUAACGUAGGGAAACUUACGCUAAUACCGCAUACGACCUACGGGUGAAAGCAGGGGACCUUCGGGCCUUGCGCGAUUGAAUGAGCCGAUGUCGGAUUAGCUAGUUGGCGGGGUAAAGGCCCACCUAGGCGACGAUCCGUAGCUGGUCUGAGAGGAUGAUCAGCCACACUGGAACUGAGACACGGUCCAGACUCCUACGGGAGGCAGCAGUGGGGAAUAUUGGACAAUGGGCGCAAGCCUGAUCCAGCCAUACCGCGUGGGUGAAGAAGGCCUUCGGGUUGUAAAGCCCUUUUGUUGGGAAAGAAAUCCAGCUGGCUAAUACCCGGUUGGGAUGACGGUACCCAAAGAAUAAGCACCGGCUAACUUCGUGCCAGCAGCCGCAGUAA